CAGUAGCCGCGGUAAUACGAAGGGGGCUAGCGUUGUUCGGAUUUACUGGGCGUAAAGGGCGCGUAGGCGGACUGAUAAGUCAGGGGUGAAAUCCCAAGGCUCAACCUUGGAACUGCCUUUGAUACUGUUUGUCUUGAGUUCGAGAGAGGUAAGUGGAACUGCGAGUGUAGAGGUGAAAUUCGUAGAUAUUCGCAAGAACACCAGUGGCGAGGGCGGCUUACUGGCUCGAAACUGACGCUGAGGCGCGAAAGCGUGGGGAGCAAACAGGAUUAGAGACCCGCGUAGUCCCUGUCUCUUAUAC
rnacentral:rRNA from 1 species